UCCAUUUGAGUUGAAUACUGUCUAGAAGACAAUAUUCGUAUUAAAACUCUCAAUUUAUGUUUUGUCGUAUUUUACACGACAGUUGUAUUAUUAAAUUAUAUUUGAAUUUUGUACCAUGUAUUUGGCGACUCAAGAUGGGUGAUGUAUACCUAUUUUGGGGGCGUUACAAAGAUAAUUGGCUUUGACACAACCACUUUCAAAGGAUUUUCAAUACCUUUAAGUUGAAUUAUUUGUAUUUUGAGUUGUAUGGCAGCCAAAUCAUCCCCAGAGGAUAUAACUGCUACGACUUCCUUCCAUUUUAUAGAAAAUAUGUCCCCACACUCAAGUAAUACCGUGUCAUCAUCUGCUAGCUACAGGACACUGUUGUCAAUUUGGUUCUGAAUAAGAUGACGAAGUGCCCAACAUUCUUCUGUGACAGCCCCAAAUCCGGGUCCCAAAUCACCACGGAUCUGGUACAAUCAUUCUAUAACUAUUGCAGAAGAUAUAAACUUAAAUUGUUUAUACAAUAAACUUUACACACUAUUCCCCAAGCUCGAGUAUCCUUAACUUAUACACAAUUCAUUAUCCUAUCUAACAUACAAUCACAUUAAUAUACAAUAUUGUUUCAAACUUUAUCUGUACAUGUAAACUAAAGAUGGACUUGUCUUUAACCUUUCCUUGUAUCCGACGUAUUCACCUUAAUCUGCAAUGUUUAUCAUGAUAUAGCAAGGGUGGGCAUGAAUGUUGCCCAACAAGUUUAAAUUUAUUUAAAGAUAUAUCAUGAUUGAAAGAGUCUGAAUAAUAAGUUGGCUAUAAUUCAACAAUAUAGUUGUGAAUUAGCAUGAACAAACUUUUCACUGAACAAGUAUUAAACAUGAAUAAAUAUAUCUGGACGGAAUGGUAAUGAAGGUGAUCAACCUUUCAUACCUGACUUAUACAUGCAAUAUGUACAGAGUACAAUUCUAUAAUUCUUAGACAUGGAAAUCAGCAAUGAUUAACUAUAAGCAUAUCUGAAUGAAACAACUCUAAGUAGAGUUAAGAAAAACUUGACUGUUUCAUUGAUUAUCAUUACACAAUUUAUUAAGCUUUGUAUGAAGACCUAAUAUAUAAAUAAUAUCGAUAUACAAAUUAGAAUAAUAUCAUCAUAAUAUAAUACUAUUAUAUAUAUAUAGAAUAACCUAAACACAUAACAUAUAACCCUAUCAGUAUACAACACACAUAAGACUUGGUAUCUAGUCAAACUAUGGUAGUCUGAGUUGAACCCGACACAAAUCUGACAUCCCGACGGUCUAGUCGGACAAAACUCAAGUCUAAAAUCAUUAAGACUCGAUCUAAACUGGUUCACAAAUAUCUUAGAUAAUUUAUUAUCAGUCAUAAGCUUGUAAUAAUUUUCAAAUAAUUAUUACCAUUUAUCAUAAUUUUUCAAUCAUUAAUAUCGUAUUUAAAUGAAUUAAAUACCACAUAAUUCCUUUAUCAUUAAUAUUUAUUUAAUACUAAAUAUUAAUAGAAAUCAUAACAUAAUAUUAUAAUAUAUUUAUAAUAUUACAAAGUAUUUUUAAUACCUUAAAAUCAUAUUUAUAUGAUUUUUAAACACUUAAAUUCAUUAUCCGAUAAUUGCUUUUAAUAUUAAAAUAUUAAUAUUUUCAUGACAAAAUAUCAAAAGUUAUAUUUUAUAACUUAAAAUAUUUUUAUAACACUUAAAUCAUUUUGAUAUGAUUUUUAAAACACUAAUUCUAUUUUUCCAUAAUUUAUUUAAUAUAUUUAUUCAAUAAAUUAAUUAUCAUUAAUAUAAAUUUAUUAAUGAAUUUCAUCACAAAAUAUCAAAAGUUAUUAAAAAUAACUUAAAAUAUUUUCUAACACCAUAAUAUAAUUUUUCAUGAUUUUUCAAGUAUUAAAAUCAUUUUUAAAUAAUUUAUUUAAUAUUAUAAUUAAAUAAAUUAAAUUAUAUUUCAAAAAUAUUAAAUAUUUAUGAAAUAUAAUCUAAAUAAUUAAAAACUAAUUUUCAGGCUUUAAAAUAAUUAUGAGGAAUUUAAUAUUAAUUUUUAAUAAUUAAAAACUAUUUUUCCCUAUUUAAUAAAUAAAAUAAUUGAUUUUAGAAAUAAACUGUCGCUAAAAGGGCCCUAUAGCGACAGAACCGUCGCUGUAGGUGUUCUUGAGGAAAAUCUAGAACUUCAUGUUAGACUUCGAGAGGCUUGAUUUGACCGCUUAUAAUUUCCAAUCAAAAGUGUUUCUAGGGCGUGUUAAACGUUGAUCAUGUAGUGUUUAUGUAACACUACAUGAAAUAAUCAUCAUCUCGAUCAUACAACAAACUAAAAAGAUCUGGGCUUGCAAACACACUGUCAGAGUGUUUCUGGGUUUUUCCAGAAACCCUGCAGUUCGAGUGGCCAUCUUGUAGCUCGAUUAUAUACAUGUUCUGGUUAUUAAAUAUGUGGUUUCUUGGUUCAUAGAUCUAGUACAUAUGUUAAAGAACAAAUAAAUAACAUUUUCUCAGUCCAAAAACAACAGGAUCACCAUGUAUCAAUCGGUCAAACUAUGUCAGAAACUCAGGUCAUACGUUUUCUGGAAUUUCCAGAAAACAGACAAUCAUACCGGAUGGUCUACUUUGACCAUCCACUACAUCCAAUCAAUUGGUGUUUUAAAGGAUCUAAAGGCCAGGAACUAUAGUCCACAUUACAGGCUACACAUGUAUUACCACAACAUCAUCAAAUAACAUUAUAUCGGACAGAUCUGGGCGUUCAAAGAUAUUGUCAGACGUUGAAAUCAAUUUCUGGGUUACCCAAAUUUUUACUCGAUCAUGGUCGGUUAACCGACUUUGACCGAUUAUAACUUGAAAUCUAGACAUUAAACGACUGUGAUUUCACUUCCAGAUCAAAGACAACAUGACAAGCCACAUAUAACAACUUUGAAACAACAAAAAUUAUAAACGAGCAAUGAUCUGUGGCCACUGACAUUCGGUUGUCACACCACAUUUCAAGCUCAAGAACAGUUUUUAAAAACUUGAUUUUUGUACAUCUACAUGUUAUAGAUGCAUGAUCUAUCAACCCAGAUCACUCAAAGACACCCUAAUACACAACUUUAACCAACCAAUUCCAACAUAUAACAUCAGAUCACAAGAUUUCUAAAAUUUAGGGUUUUCAUACCUUUCUAGCUUGGAUUUGAUUUCUGAUCAUGGAUUCUAUUCUUGGAAAGGUAUGAUCUGAAAUAGUCUUAACUUUACACUCCCUUUCACUCUCCAUUUCGAAAAGUUAGAGAGAGAGAGAGUGGUCUUGGAAAAUAUGAGAAGUAA
rnacentral:lncRNA from 1 species